GUGUGACUGCGGAUCCAACGAUUCUCAACAUACUUCAUUGUAAAAGAAAUGGUUAUUAAUAAAUUUCUUAUGUCGACGGAGCUGGACCUAAAUAACAUUGAUCAGCAAAAUUUCCUACAUGCCAGUGACCGUGUAUACAAGCGGACAAAGCCCUUAUACACAAAAUAAAUGCAAAA